AUUGAACGCUGGCGGCAGGCCUAACACAUGCAAGUCGAACGGUAACAGGGAUCAGCUUGCUGAUUCGCUGACGAGUGGCGGACGGGUGAGUAAUGUCUGGGAAACUGCCUGAUGGAGGGGGAUAACUACUGGAAACGGUAGCUAAUACCGCAUAACGUCGCAAGACCAAAGAGGGGGACCUUCGGGCCUCUUGCCAUCGGAUGUGCCCAGAUGGGAUUAGCUAGUAGGUGGGGUAACGGCUCACCUAGGCGACGAUCCCUAGCUGGUCUGAGAGGAUGACCAGCCACACUGGAACUGAGACACGAUCCAGACUCCUACGGGAGGCAGCAGUGGGGAAUAUUGCACAAUGGGCGCAAGCCUGAUGCAGCCAUGCCGCGUGUAUGAAGAAGGCCUUCGGGUUGUAAAGUACUUUCAGCGGGGAGGAAGGGAGUAAAGUUAAUACCUUUGCUCAUUGACGUUACCCGCAGAAGAAGCACCGGCUAACUCCGUG
rnacentral:rRNA from 1 species